GGAGAGGUGGCUGAGUGGUCGAAAGCGCCGCACUCGAAAUGCGGUGAGUCCGAGAGGGCUCCGGGGGUUCGAAUCCCUCCCUCUCCG
rnacentral:tRNA from 2 species